GAUGAACGCUGGCGGCGUGCCUAAUACAUGCAAGUCGAGCGAACGGACGAGAAGCUUGCUUCUCUGAUGUUAGCGGCGGACGGGUGAGUAAAACGUGGAUAACCUACCUAUAAGACUGGGAUAACUUCGGGAAACCGGAGCUAAUACCGGAUAAUAUUUUGAACCGCAUGGUUCAAAAGUGAAAGACGGUCUUGCUGUCACUUAUAGAUGGAUCCGCGCUGCAUUAGCUAGUUGGUAAGGUAACGGCUUACCAAGGCAACGAUGCAUAGCCGACCUGAGAGGGUGAUCGGCCACACUGGAACUGAGACACGGUCCAGACUCCUACGGGAGGCAGCAGUAGGGAAUCUUCCGCAAAGGGCGAAAGCCUGACGGAGCAACGCCGCGUGAGUGAUGAAGGUCUUCGGAUCGUAAAACUCUGUUAUUAGGGAAGAACAUAUGUGUAAGUAACUGUGCACAUCUUGACGGUACCUAAUCAGAAAGCCACGGCUAACUACGUG
rnacentral:rRNA from 1 species